CUUACCGUGUUGUGUGAUGUGUGUUUCAGGUACUUCUCAGGACCGUGGGAAAAUGUCGACAUGAUUGUGGUUUUAUGAAAUAUAAUAUAUGUAACGACCCAAUUUUUACGUCCGAAAAUUUCAUUUUUAGAAUAUUACUUUAGAAAACAUUAAUAAUUAAAAACAUUGUUUGUUCACACCAUAACACAUUGCAACCAUGUUCUAAAAAGCCACACCAUACAUCUCAUCAAAAUAUCAGAGUACAGUCCCAGUAAAUCUCAUAAAUGCGGAAACCGAAAAGUGUGUGUAUGACGUGCCGCUACCGCGCCGGCUCCUUCCCCUUCGAUGCAGAGGUACCUGAAAACAAAACUGUAAACGUAAGCACAAAGCUUAGUGAGUUCCCCCAACGUACCACAUACCAUACAAACACAUAACAUACGUACUGCCAGGCUAUUCUGGGGUGCCUGACUACCCGGUACGGCCAUUCUGGGGUGCCGACCUACCCAUACGGCCAUUCUGGGGUGCCGUCUACCCAUCGGUCCUAACAACCGAUCCUCGGGGACUAUUUCACCCCUACUACUACGAUCACAUAUAACAUAACAAGCCAGCAUACAUACAUAUCGUCACAUACUGUCAGACGUAUCUGGGGUGUCUGACUACCCUUCGGUCCGAACAACCAAACUCUACUACUAUCACAUACAGCAUAUCAUGCUAGCAUAUAACAUGUCAGGUACUAGCGAACUUAGAUGAUAUCACAAAGACAAUCAUCUAUCAUACAACUCCUACUGGUGGGUCGGCAUUGUGGCCUUAGACCCACCGCUACUGGAAGGUAACUCACCUCAAAGUAGCUGCUGAACUGAUCGGGAACUAACUGACUGCUGCUGCUCCGGGAGUCCUCCGGCUGCAAUUUCCACGACAUACUCAAUCAAACACUGCUAACUGUCCUUUAGGUAAAAUGACCAUUUUACCCCUGGAUUAACUCUAAGCCAAAGCUGGAGUCAACUUUCAGUUGACCCGACUCGCCGAGUGGAUCACCACUCGCCGAGUCCCUAGCAAACCAAUGUCCUGGGUCCCUGGUUCUACUCGUCGAGUCGGGCUAUGACUCGACGAGUUCACCUUCUAACUGCCAUUCAACACCUUCAUCCUACUCGCCGAGUUGUAUGAACAACUCGUCGAGUUCAUCUUCAUCCGAUGAACACUUUAUGCUAAGACUCGCCGAGUUGUAUGAACAACUCGCCGAGUCUGUUCUUGAGCUAUGAAGAUUGCCUUGGACUCGCCGAGUCAGGGCAUUGACUCGCCGAGUCCUAACAUGGGUGAGUUCAGCUCCCAACUCACCGAGUCACCCCCUGUGACUCAAGGCUCAACUCGACACAUGAAGAAGGGACCAAUUCGGUGACUCGCGACCAGACUCGCCGAGUCACCUAUGCGACUCGCCGAGUCGUCGCCAUGCACUCCUUAAAUAUACCGAUUUGCUCGGUUCCAGACCAUGCCAUUCAUAGAUCUGGACUUCUAGGACACGAAUCACACGUAAAGUUUCCAACUUUACGUGUGGAUAUUCACCAAUAUGGAUUAUAAGGCUCAAAAUGUCUCAAAAUGGUAGAUCUAGGGCUAACAAGCCUCAUGAGGCCAAAAAGCUAACAGAUCUGAGCUCCUGGAGCUCAAUCUUACAUAGAUCCAAAGGCCAAACGCCUUAUUACAACAUAUAAUGAACAUGCAAACUUGGGGAAUUGACCAAGAAGGACCCAAAUGAAGUUUUAAGCAUAGAAUCAAGGGGAAAACGGGUUAUACCUCAAAGGAAAUGUUGAAAUGACACAAGGAUGGCUGAUCUCCUUCUCCUCUUCUUGAUCUACUCCUCUUACUCUUCAAAACCUUCAAGAACACACCAAGAACACCUCAAACUCUCAAGAAAACAAGGGAAAACGAUGUAGGGGGAGUUCUGGGGGUGAAUGGGGACGAGUUGGGGCGGAAUGAGAGUUUAAAUAGGGUGCAAACCCUUGAAACUUAGGGUUUCAUCCCGCAGCGGUGACUCGCCGAGUCCAGGAUAUGGACUCGUCGAGUCGCCUACUUAAAACGCGUCCUGAGUCUCGUCCCUACUCGGCGAGUCGGACCCUAUGACUCGCCGAGUCUAAGGCUAAAUUAGGGCAAUGCUCAAAUAAAAUUCACAUACCGGAAACCAGGUGCUACACAUCUCCCCCACUUAUUUUAGACUUCGUCCUCGAAGUCUGCUGCCUGAUCCUGAAACAGCUCGGGGUAGUGCUCCAUCAUCUCGUCUACCGGCUCCCAAGUCCACUCUGAACCCUUGCGGUGCUGCCAUUGCACCUUCACUAGCUCCACCCUCUUGUUCCUUAAAUCCUUCGACUUCCUGUCGAGGAUUGCGACUGGGCGCUCGAUGUAGUUCAGGCUGUCAUCAACCUGAAUAUCCUCCAAAGGUACUACUGCAGAAUCGUCCACUAGGCACUUCCGCAACUGCGAAACAUGGAAAGUGCUGUGGAUCUGGCUAAGCUCGGCUGGCAGAUCCAGCCUAUAUGCUACCUUGCCCACCCGGGCUAAGACCCUGAACGGUCCGAUGAAUCGCGGGCCCAACUUGCCCCGCUUCCUGAAUCGGAUGACGCCUUUCCACGGCGACACCUUCAGGAGGACCAUAUCCCCGACCUGGAACUCUAAAUCGGAUCGACGCUUGUCGGCAUAACUUUUCUGUCGACUCUGAGCAGUCUGAAGCCUGCUCCGGACCUGCUGUAUCCUCUCAGUCGUCUUGAGCACCACUUCGGUGCUUCCCAUAACUCUCUGGCCAACCUCACCCCAGCAUAUCGGGGUCCUACACCUCCGUCCGUACAACAUCUCGAAGGGAGGGCGGUCGAUACUCGCGUGAUAGCUGUUGUUGUAGGAGAACUCAGCCAAAGGAAGAUAGGUAUCCCAGCUACCACCGAAAUCCAGAACACACGCCCGCAACAUGUCCUCCAAAGUCUGGAUGGUCCGCUCACUCUGUCCAUCUGUCUGCGGGUGAAAGGCGGUGCUGAAAUGCAGACGAGUGCCCAACUCGUCAUGGAAUCUCUUCCAAAACCUGGAAGUAAAACGCACAUCCCUGUCCGAGAUCACCGAUACUGGCACCCCAUGCCGUGCCACAAUCUCCCUGAUAUAGAUGUCGGCCAAUUUCUCGGCCGAUAUGCUCUCCGGAAUCGGAAUAAAGUGAGCACUCUUGGUCAAUCUAUCCACGAUGACCCAAAUCGAAUCCACUCCACGCGCGGUCCUGGGAAGCUUCGUGAUAAAAUCCAUCGUGAUAUCUUCCCACUUCCACAGUGGAAUGUCCAACGGCUGCAUCUUGCCAUGCGGCCUCUGAUGUUCGGCCUUGACCUUCCUGCAGGUCAAGCACCGCUCGACGUACCAUGCCACAUCCCGCUUCAUGCAGGGCCACCAAUAGUCUAGACGAAGAUCCCUAUACAUCUUCGUCGCCCCGGGAUGAAUAGAGAAUCGGGACUUGUGCGCCUCCUCCAUCAAAAUCUGGCGCACGCCCCCGUGAUACGGCACCCACACCCUAUGGUGUAGUGUCAAUAACCCUCGGCUAUCAUAAUCGAAGGAGGAAACCUGACCUACUACGCGCUCGUUCUUCCGAUGCUCCUCCUUGAUAGCCUCCUGUUGAGCUUCCCGAAUCUGCUCCAACAGGGGAGUCACCACAGUCAUCCUCAAACAGGCGUCCCUGAUCGGCGCCGUCUUGCGGCUAAGCGCAUCGGCCACCACAUUGGCCUUUCCCGGGUGGUAAAGGAUCUCGCAAUCAUAAUCCUUCACCACAUCCAACCACCGACGCUGCCUCAUGUUCAGAUUCGGCUGGUCCAUGAGGUACCUCAAGCUCUUGUGGUCCGUGUAGAUGGUACACCGAACCCCAUAGAGGUAAUGUCGCCAAAUCUUGAGGGCAAAUACCACCGCCCCCAACUCCAAAUCGUGCGUCGGGUAGUUCGCCUCGUGAGGCUUGAGCUGCCUCGAAGCGUAAGCAAUGACAUGCCCCCUUUGCAUCAGCACCGCGCCCAACCCAGAAAUGGACGCAUCGCAAUAAACCACGAAAUCCUCUACGCCCUCUGGCAGGGCUAAGAUCGGCGCCUCACACAAUCUCUGUCUCAGCGUCUCAAAUGCAGCCUGCUGCUCGGGUCCCCACCGAAAGACCACGGCUUUCUUCGUCAGCCGCGUCAGGGGCACGGCUAUCUUGGAGAAAUCCUGGAUAAAUCUCCGAUAGUAGCCUGCCAAUCCUAGGAAGCUCCGAAUCUCAGAUGGGGACUUCGGAACCUCCCAUCUCAUCACGGCCUCGACCUUGGCCGGAUCGACCAGAAUCCCGUUCUGGUUGACGAGGUGCCCCAGAAAUUGCACCUCGCGCAACCAAAACUCACACUUGGAGAACUUGGCAUACAAGCUCUCCCUCCUCAGGGUCUCUAACACCUCUCUCAAAUGCUCCUCAUGUUCCUCCCGGGUCUUGGAAUAAACCAAGAUAUCAUCGAUAAAGACUAUCACAGACCGGUCCAGCAUCGGUCUGCAUACACGGUUCAUGAGGUCCAUGAACGCGGCAGGAGCAUUGGUGAGCCCAAACGGCAUCACCACAAACUCGUAAUGGCCAUAGCGCGUCCGAAACGCGGUCUUCUGCAUAUCCUCCUCCCUGACCCUCAUCUGAUGAUAACCCGAACGCAAAUCAAUCUUGGAGAACCAAGAUGCGCCCUGAAGCUGGUCAAAGAGGUCAUCAAUCCUCGGAAGCGGGUAACGGUUCUUCACCGUUACCUUGUUCAGCUCCCGAUAAUCUAUACACAUCCGAUGCGACCCAUCCUUCUUCUUCACAAACAGAAUCGGGGCUCCCCAGGGCGAACUGCUCGGCCGAAUAAAUCCCUUGUCCAGCAGCUCCUGCAGCUGCGUAGACAACUCCUGCAUCUCGGGAGGAGCCAACCGAUACGGUGCUUUGGCUAUCGGAGCCGCACCGGGAACGAGGUCAAUCCUGAACUCCACCUGUCGCUCCGGAGGUAUCCCAGGUAGUUCCUCCGGAAAAACAUCAGCAAAAUCUCGAACCACCGGGACCUCGCUCACGGUCGCCUUACCCGCCUCCCGGGUGUCCAUCACGUACGCGACAUAACCCGCGCAUCCCUGCUGAAGGUAGCGCCUAGCCCUCGCUGCUGAACAUACAGUGGGUCCACACUGCGGCCGCUCUCCAUGAAUCACUAACUCUCCCCCGCUUGGGGUCUUGACUCGCACUAGCUGCUGUGCGCAAUCUAUCACUGCCCCAUUAGGGCUCAACCAAUCCAUACCAAUAAUCACCUUGUUCCCACGCAAUGGAAUGGGAACCAAGUCUACCAGGUAACACUCCUCAAACAGUCGCAGGACACAAUCUCGAAACACCAUCGAUGCUCGCACCGAUCGAUCAUCGGCAAUCUCUACCUCUAACGGGCAAUCUAACUCGCCUGAAGUCUCAUGAAAUCUCUUGCUAAGAGCAAGAGAAACGAACGAUCGGGAUGCACCCGAGUCGAACAAUACCUGAACCGGGAUGCCGUUCACAUGGAACGAUCCUAAUACACAUGUAUACACACGGAGCACAUAUCAAUAUCAUAACAACGUAAAAUAAAAGAUAGAAGGAAGGAAUCAUACCCGUCACCACAUCGGGCGCGGCGCGUGCCUCCUCGGCAGUCAACUGAAAUGCCCGACUCCUCACCACUGGAGCCUCUGCCUUGCCCUGACGGCCAUCCGUGAUCCGCAGGGUCGCUGGAGCUGGCGCCUUCACUGGCGCUGAAGCUGUCAACAUGGGGCAAUUGGCCUUCUUGUGGCCCCUCUGGUUGCAGUGGAAACACAGCAACUCCGAUGUCUGAAUAACGGUCGCAGGAGCAGUGCAAUCCCUGCUGAUAUGCCCAAACUUGCCGCACUUGUAGCAGCCUGACGAUCCCAUCCUGCACGCCCCCUCGUGCGGCCUGCCGCACCUCCUGCAGCGGCUCGGUCCCGACUGGCCUUUCGGCCUCCCAUCUGAUCCCUUGGGCUUCUUCCCCGAAGCCCCCGAUGACUGACCAUCCUCAAGUUUCCGUUUCCGGAUGUGCUCCAAAUCUAUCUCUCUCUCCCUAGCCCUGGCAAUCAUGGAGUCCAGGGUAGGGCAAGCCGAAAAGCUAACAUGCUCCCGAAUGUCAGCUCGUAGCAUGUCGUGGUAACGAGUCCUCCUCAUAUCCUCGUCACCUGCAUACUGGGGCACCAAUAAAGCCCUCUCCCGAAACUUGGCGGUGAUCUCCGCCACGGUCUCUGUCGUCUGCCUCAUGUCUAAGAACUCCCUGGCCAGCUGCUGAAGCUCGACCGCUGGCGCAAACUCUGCCCUGAACCUAGUCACAAAGUCCGACCAGGUCAUUGCCUCGACAGCCGAGGCUCCCAUCGAGUCACCCACUGACUCCCACCAAUCUCGGGCCCGGUCCCGUAAACACCCUGCUGCGUACCUCACCUUCGACCCCUCGGGGCAGAAGCUGAUCAACUGGGCGGACUCGAUAUCCGCAAUCCACCGCCUGGCGACAAUGGGGUCCUUCACCCCAUGGAAAUCCGGCGCACCACUGCUCCUGAAGUCCUUGAAGGACAGUGUGCGAGAUCCUGACUGGCUAGAGGCCAAGUCGCUCCUGAAUGCCCGUAGGCGAUCCUCCAUCAUCUCCACGAUCCCUUCCUUGAUCGACCCAAAGAUGAUGGGGGUCGACUCAAGGAUGCCCCUAGUGAUCUCCGACGUGAUGAACUCACGUAGCCUCUCCUCAAUCGGCUCGGUGCCAGAUCCCGAACCUGACCCCUCUCCUGACCCGCCAUCUGUCGGUCUCGGUCGAAGUACCACCAUUCUGCAAAACAUCAAUAAUAAUCAUUAGUGGUACUGCUACUUUCUGAGGGAUCUCAACUACUUACAGGUUCCUUGGUCUCGUCUUGGCCUUCCUCGGCUCGGGUACGGAUCCUCUGCUUUCAGUAGUACGGGCCCAUACUACCUUCCACAUCUAUCCGUACCUUCUCCGAGGAAUUCCUCGACUCCACCAACUCCCCUCUACUACUGCUACUCUCCGAUAUUCUCACCCUAGGCUUGCCCUAGGGAGAACUCAAGUUCAACACAACUGGUCCUCAGCUGCUGUAGGUCUCCUCAUAAUGCCAGUUAGCCACCACCUAAACACCAUCACAUGUAAUGAGGAUUAGAUAAUCCUUCAAGUAAAAGAUCCGUCCCUACAACGGUUGGACUCAAACAAGAGCUGCGCAAUAGGGCCAGUUCCAACACUUUGGGAUUAUUCAACCCUGAUUACAUGUGGUGUGACGUGUUUACCUAGUGGCUCACUCCCAUUACUCAGAAUCCCACCGAGCACGAAGCAAGCAGCAUUCGGAUAAGGAAAAACAGACUCAAGCCAAAACUGUUCUUAGAACAAGAAACGACACUUAACAUAGGAUGCUAAGCUCAUACUAUCAGGCAUAACCUAAACAGGCUACCCUACUGCUGUCUACUCAAUUCUAGCAUGCAAUAUUCAAUAAGCUGGAACAAAUAAACAGGCACAUAAGGCAUCACUCCUAGAUCCUUAGCCUAUUCUAGCAUGCAAUAUUCAUAAAGCUGAUAAACAUAACAUAAACUUGUAUGGGUACUAUGGGGAAUACUUACUUGAGCUCGGCCGGUCGCGCACGUCACACACUUUACUCUUUCUCGUGACUCUUUUCCGGGUUUUAAAGAAUAAUUUCUUUUGGAAAAAUCUUUCAAUCCCUCGGUUUGAGUCCAAACACUCCCGAAGGCGUGUCCGAAUCCCUCAAACCAGGGCUCUGAUACCAACUUGUAACGACCCAAAUUUUAUUUUUUUUUUUUUUUGAUAUUACUUUAGAAAACAUUAAUAAAUAAAAACAUUGUCUAAAUAAAAAGAAACAUUGUUUGUUCACACCAUAACACAUUGCAACCAUGUUCUCAAAAGCCAAACCGUACAUCCCAUCAAAUAUCAGAGUACAAUCCCAGUAAAUCUCAUAAAUGCGGAAACCGAAGAGUGUGUGUAUGACGUGCCGCUACCGCGCCGGCUCCUUCCCCUUCGAUGCAGAGGUACCUGAAAACAAAACUGUAAACGUAAGCACAAAGCUUAGUGAGUUCCCCCAACGUACCGCAUACCAUACAAACACAUAACAUAUAUACUGCCAGGCUAUUCUGGGGUGCCUGACUACCCGGUACGGCCAUUCUGGGGUGCCGACCUACCCAUACGGCCAUUCUGGGGUGCCGUCUUACCCGUGUCAAGCCAUUCUGGGGUGCUGACUACCCAUCGGUCCUAACAACCGAUCCUCGGGGACUAUUUCACCCCUACUACUACGAUCACAUAUAACAUAACAAGCCAGCAUGCAUACAUAUCGUCACAUACUGUCAGACGUAUCUGGGGUGUCUGACUACCCUUCGGUCCGAACAACCAAACUCUACUACUAUCACAUACAGCAUAUCAUGCUAGCAUAUAACAUGUCAGGUACUAGCGAACUUAGAUGAUAUCACAAAGACAAUCAUCUAUCAUACAACUCCUACUGGUGGGUCGGCAUUGUGGCCUUAGACCCACCGCUACUGGAAGGUAACUCACCUCAAAGUAGCUGCUGAACUGAUCGGGAACU
rnacentral:lncRNA from 1 species